UAUGAGCAACGUGACAUCACUUCCGGCCUGAUAGGUUUUUAUGAUUGGUGGCUGACAGCCUGCUGGAUGACGAUUGGACCCUGACAGAUUUAUUUAGUUAACCAUUGGUUCUUAUCAAAUUUGCCGCAAAAUAUUCGUAAAUCGGAAACAGCGCGAUCCAGAAUUUCUGUCAUCUGUCGGAAAUAUGUCGGUUUUGUUUUGGUGUGAAUUUUAGGAUAUUUAUAAUUACCACGUUCAUCAGCGAUUAGAUUAAAAUAGAAAAGAAGUGGAAUAUGGUACACUGUUUUGUAUCACGGCUACCCAAGGGUGUGAAGUAGAAUUGGAAUGUAAGCAGUGCAAUGUCCAGCCUCGCUUCCGACCUUUGGUUCUUGACAAUUCAUUAGACAAUAAUUAGUUCCAGACAAAUUGUUUAUCAUCACAUAGCUGGAGUAGUUUUCCAGGAGUAGUACAGCGAUUAGUUUCUAUCAUCUGACUUAAAUUUAUUUUACUGUGAUGGCAAGAAUGCAAAUUAUAAGGUUGGCUCGAGUUGUAAUCUAGACAAAAAUUCUCUAAGACAGACAGUUAUUGAUACAUAUGCUAUAUGAACUUGCAAUUCAAGGCUGUUCUAAAAAAUAUUUACAGAGUAAUGCUGGAAAGAAUACCAUAAAGUUGGAAGACCUAACGAGAAGACUAACAUAGUUAAUAUUUUGAUACUGUUUUCAAGUGCAAUAUUUAAGAGAAGCAAAAUAUGAAGAAUUAUUAGCAGGAAACUGAAAAAUUCAAGAAAGAACAUGUUCACUGAAUGAUAA